GCUGCCAAAAAUGUGGGAUCAGAGAUUCUUGCAUGUGUGAAAUCCACGACUCUGAAGUACCAGAUAUUAUAGGCCCUUGAACCAUUUCUCUGAAGAACAUAAACCCUCUUCCAGGGGCAUCUUAUAUGUCCCAUGAUAGCUGGGCCAGCUGCGAGUGAGGCACCUGCAACACCUCCCACACCAGCCUCCCAACCUCGUGGAAGAUGCUGCCACAGAUGAGCCUGUGAGGAGCUGGAGCGGUAGCACAUCGUUGCCCUGUGUGGCCUCCAGCAGUUUCUUGACAAGGACAUGGAGCUGCGCCGCACCACCUGGCGGGAGCUCUUGCAGCAGCCCCGGACCACGUGUGCAGCAUACACCAUUGCCAUUGACUGCCUGCCGGCUGCUCCUGUCCCAGCUCCCGUCCUUCUGUAUUUUCCCCCUAACCCAUCCCAUGGCUGCGCCCCGAACACAUGGUGGUAGGACCAUCCGAGACAGGCGCCACUCCCAGCUUGAUCCCUGAGCUUCUCCUCGCCC